GUCAGGACCCCAAAAAGUAUUAAGACUUUUAAGGUGCCUGCACCAAACACACUGCUAGUUAAAGUGACAUGAAGGCGCGAAUGCUGUUGUCAGACCAACUCCAGGCUACUUCAGGGCCUUGGAGCAAUGUGCAUCAUUCCAUGAACUUCUUGACAACAAGGUUCUUGCCCCCAGUCUCACCUGCCUCCUUGGUCUCAGUGCAGGCACCAGUGCCAACCUCUCGGCUGCCAGACAGCUCUCUGCUGGGUGGAGGCACCCGGUCCAUCAGGCGAGCAGGUUACUCUGUCUAGCUCCCUUCCGCUCCAUCCCACCCUCUCCAGCUAAAAAGCAUUCCAGCCCUUUCUAAAGCCUUUUCCCUCCUGGAUAAGCCCAGAGGAUGCCUGGGAUGGAGCCAAAGAGGCCAUAGAAUUAACAUCGUCAGGACAACCCUGUACGUCGGCACUGUGCACAGGUGCCAUCCCAGGAGACUGAUGGAUCCCCUGCUCCCCUGGGGCCCCUGCUCCCUAGUGAGAGGAAAUGCUGUCAUGUAGUCGAGAGCAUGUGAGUAACCUCACCCAAAGUGUCCGAAGAGCGACUUGCUGUCUGUUGGCUGGAAACGCUUGGUGCCAGAACACAUUUCCCAGAACCCUGCUCUGGCUCGCCACCCGGCAGGGCUUCCCCGCACCCACGCGGCCGGCACAGUGACGGCCGCCCCUUCACCUCCGGCAGGGGAGCCAGGCGGGCAGGAGAUUUGUGACAUCGGGACAGCGUGGUGCAGGGUCACCGGCUGCUGUCCCACCCCCAGCGUCUCCCCGACGCGGCAUGCCAAAUGAAGGUACUUAUGGACCCCCGUGCUCAGCUACUUGGUCUUUUUAUUGUCUGCUCUGCAGUUGAAUACGUAUGUGUAUGAGUUCACUCUGCACAAAUAUAUAUAUUUGAAUCUGUCUAUCUAUCACUUGAAUCAGAGCAUCACGUGCAUCCCUCCUCCCUCGCGUACACGCACACUGUGUCACCCGAGCCAUGAAGCGGGUCACCUUGAACGGUCUGGAGCGAUGCAGUGCGGUGCUGCCCUCGGUGGGUGUGGAUGUGACCACCUCGUCUUUGUCUUGCAGUGGGUGCUGCAGCCCCGGCCUGUGUCGGUCUCUUAGCAGGAGUCUUAGAACCAGACCCCCGGUCCUCUGCUGUCCUUUCUGUCGGCCGCGCUGCUCACGGAGAUGGCCGCUCUCCCUCCCUGCCUCCUUCCUGACACUGUAAUUAUUGUUUUACAAUCGAGUGCCUUAAUAAUAGUUUACAAAUACUAUGUAUUUAUGGGCAACCGUUAAGCUCUCGCCUUCUGUGAUUGGAUACUUUGCCUCGUCAGUGGUGGUUAGCGUUUUAGGGCUGGAGCUUGCCUGCCCCGUACUUGUGCUGAUCUGUUGUGCGGCGUCUCGCACCUGCCCGCAGCCAGGCCAGGAGCGUUGCUAGAAACGGCGCUGGCGGUUUCUGUUGGCAAGGCGGGCACGGUUUCAGCCACGGCCCGGUCCGUAGGAAGCGAGGAAAGAACGGCACUGGUUUGCUGGCCAGCCGGGGGGGUGGCGCGGUCCAGGCUUCCCCUGGACCGCAGCCCAGCCCCUCCCCUGUUCCCCCCGUCACACAACUGUACCCCUGUUCAGUAGAGUCUUUAUUGCCACCGAGGCCCCUGUUUUCCUCUCUGCUGGUGUCCUGAGCUCUCUGCAACAAAACGCAGGCACAGGCCGCCAUCAGGAGCUCCGCAAGAUGGGCUGCCCUUUGGUUUUCAGAAGCCGCCCGCGGGUUCCAGUGUGUUGUGUUAUGAUAUCAAUGAUUUUUUUUAUUAUAUUGUUUUUCUUCUUGUUUUUUUAUAUUAUAUAUUUAAAAGGCAGUAUCUUUUGUACUGUGAAUUUGCAGUAGAAGAUGCAUAAUGCACUUUUUUUUUUUUUUUUACUUCUGUUGGUGUGUACUGUAGUCUUUGUGCUUCUUGUGAUGAAAAUAAACUUUUUCUUUAUAAAUGCCU